rnacentral:rRNA from 1 species
GAUGAACGCUGGCGGCGUGCCUAAUACAUGCAAGUCGAGCGAACGGACGAGAAGCUUGCUUCUCUGAUGUUAGCGGCGGACGGGUGAGUAACACGUGGAUAACCUACCUAUAAGACUGGGAUAACUUCGGGAAACCGGAGCUAAUACCGGAUAAUAUUUUGAACCGCAUGGUUCAAAAGUGAAAGACGGUCUUGCUGUCACUUAUAGAUGGAUCCGCGCUGCAUUAGCUAGUUGGUAAGGUAACGGCUUACCAAGGCAACGAUGCAUAGCCGACCUGAGAGGGUGAGCGGCCACACUGGAGCUGAGACACGGUCCAGACUCCUACGGGAGGCAGCAGUAGGGAAUCUUCCGCAAUGGGCGAAAGCCUGACGGAGCAACGCCGCGUGAGUGAUGAAGGUCUUCGGAUCGUAAAACUCUGUUAUUAGGGAAGAACAUAUGUGUAAGUAACUGUGCACAUCUUGACGGUACCUAAUCAGAAAGCCACGGCUAACUACGUG